rnacentral:rRNA from 1 species
UACAGAGGUGGCAAGCGUUGUUCGGAAUUACUGGGCGUAAAGGGCGCGUAGGCGGCCUUCUAAGUCAGACGUGAAAUCCCCCGGCUUAACCUGGGAACUGCGUCUGAUACUGGGAGGCUUGAGUACGGCAGAGGGGGGUAGAAUUCCUGGUGUAGCAGUGAAAUGCGUAGAUAUCAGGAGGAAUACCGAUGGCGAAGGCAGCCCCCUGGGUCGAUACUGACGCUCAUGCACGAAAGCGUGGGGAGCAAACAGG